rnacentral:rRNA from 1 species
UACGGGGGGGGCAAGCGUUGUUCGGAAUUACUGGGCGUAAAGGGCUCGUAGGUGGCUAACUAAGUCGGACGUGAAAUCCCUCGGCUUAACCGGGGAACUGCGUCCGAUACUGGAUGGCUUGAGUUUGGGAGAGGGAUGCGGAAUUCCAGGUGUAGCGGUGAAAUGCGUAGAUAUCUGGAGGAACACCGGUGGCGAAGGCGGCAUCCUGGACCAACACUGACGCUGAUGAGCGAAAGCCAGGGGAGCAAACGGG